rnacentral:rRNA from 1 species
CCUACGGGAGGCAGCAGUCGAGAAUCAUUCACAAUGGGGGCAACCCUGAUGGUGCGACGCCGCGUGGGGGAAUGAAGGUCUUCGGAUUGUAAACCCCUGUCAUGUGGGAGCAAAUUAAAAAGAUAGUACCACAAGAGGAAGAGACGGCGAACCCUGUGCCAGCAGCCGCGGUAAUACAGAGGUCUCAAGCGUUGUUCGGAAUCACUGGGCGUAAAGCGUGCGUAGGCUGUUUCGUAAGUCGGGUGUGAAAGGCCCGGGCUCAACCUGCGGACGGCACAUGAUACUGCGAGACUAGAGUAAUGGAGGGGGAACCGGAAUUCUCGGUGUAGCAGUGAAAUGCGUAGAUAUCGAGAGGAACACUCGUGGCGAAGGCGGGUUCCUGGACAUUAACUGACGCUGAGGCACGAAGGCCAGGGGAGCGAAAGGGAUUAGAUACCCCUGUAGUC